GAGACGUCAGUGAAGAACAGGGAGAACGAUUUCAUCAAGAUAUAAGCGUAAUGGAGAAUCGAUACCAAGGAAGAUGGAAUGUCAACAUGAUGGCAGAUUUUUGCUGGACGCUGAAGAGAGACAUUAAAACAAAUAACAAAAAGAGAAAAAGAAACCCAUUGCAUAGGUCAUUUGAAGAAAAAAGAGUUCGUGUUAAAAAUCAGCACACUGACAAAAAUCAUUACUUACUUCAAGAAGAAUCGAACAUACGUCAUAAACCCGUCGCUUUAUAAUUUUACGGUGAUCGAGUCACACAAUUCACAUCAGGAACUAUCAACCGACGGGCUUAUCGAGUAUGUUCGAUUCUUCUUGGAUUCUGCAAGAUACAGUCGGAUAAAUUAUUCAUCUGAAUCAACAAGCUCAGUGACUGGUAGAAAUUCGAGACCUGCAUCGUCAGAAUUGAGUAGAUCUAGAUCUCCAUCCAUACCCCGGCGAUAUGGAUCACCAAGUUUUUUGGAUAGGAGGCGAAUAACUAGUGCCAGAAAAAGGCCAGUUCCGUAUCAUCGACCUACACCGUCACCAGUUUCUUCACAAAGCAGCAUGAAAAGCAGUACAGAUAGUUCAUGUUCAACUAAUAGCGUUAGCUCAUGUCAAACUAAAAGUUGCGGAUCUUUGCACCUGUUUAGUUGACUUAUUAUCAUAAAAAUAUUUGUAUAAUUAAUUUUAUGUUUACUACAAAUAAAAACUGUUUUUUAAAGUAAGCUUAAAUAUAUCAGAAGACUGUUGCUGCAUUAA